GUGGCUCACUUCAGCAGCAUAUAUACUAAAAUCAGAAUAAGAGAAGAUUAUCAUGCCCCAGAAUAAGGAUGACAUCCAAAUUUAUGAAGUGCUCCAUAUUAAA
rnacentral:snRNA from 1 species